CAGCAGUAUCUUCCAUCAGAACCCCAAAUCGGCAACGAAUAUGUCCUUUAGACUUUGCUAGAAAUGGCCGAACACUAAAAAAUAGGUGGAAAACCAGCUUAAGCUGGUUGUACUUUUAAGUUCGUUCAAUUCACACAGGCAGGGUGAUUGAGGUGCGUGCUUCGCAAGUUUUUUACUUUCUUCACACAACAAAACAAAGGCAUGAUAGUACUGUACUCAACUGCUCGUGCCGUAUGGCUCUUCUACAUUAUAUAAUCUAUAAUAUGUUCAUUCAUACCAAUAUACCUGCUAAAAAAAACCAAUAAAUUUUCAACCCCUCUCACAGUCAUCAAACCUGCAACACCAAAUUCCUCUCCGCCCUCUGCUCGGAAACCCAUAAAUUUUCAACCCCUCUCACAGUCAUCAAACCUGCAACACCAAAUUCC
rnacentral:lncRNA from 1 species